ACAAAUAAUAAAAAAACAAGGUCAGACUCAACCCUCGGCGGUGCGGAGCUUACUUUUAUGCUCAACGAACAUCAAACGGUUUAAAGAAAAAAUCCGGAAUACGGUGACGCAUGAUACUUAUUACUAUUAAUAUUACUGCAAGUGUGUGAGUUUUAAUCUAGAAAUGUUCAGAAACUUGCUGAUUUUCUAAUUCCCCACCGAGUACACGAAACAAAUCUAUGGCUUGGAACUUAAACAAAUCCUCCCCUCAUCAUCAUCACCAUUGUUCCUGGCUAAUUGUACAAGACUAUUAAACAAAUAUUUGGACAAUUCUGUGGUUAUAAAAUAUUUACCAAGAAGAACCUCCCUACCCCGUAGAAAAAGACCAAGGUAUUUACAAACCUCUAAGCUUGUAAACUCUAAACUGGAGCAGCAGACUAAGAAAAUACACCUUAAAGCUACAGCUAAGUUUUACAUAUUUAG